ACAACUAAGCAAUGAUCUUUCAGUUGCUUUGCAAGCAGAAACCUGUAUUGGGAGGUCACGCUGCGUGGAUGGUGCUUGGUGCAUGAACAACUUGGCGACCGGCCUCCAAAACCAAAGUGGCUUUAUUGCUCUCAUCGAUCACUCCUGCGGCCUACCAUUAGGUCUACCCGUAUUUGUUGUAUCCUACACAAGUGGUAGCCUGCUGUUACGACAUGCACGUUUUGAACUGCUUUUGGCACCAGUAAUCUUUAUGCACACUUUCCUAACAAUCC
rnacentral:lncRNA from 1 species